rnacentral:lncRNA from 1 species
UGCAUUGGACACAGUUAUGGAAUACCAAAAAAAGGAACAGUAGUAAAUUAAAUAUGGAGGGAACAGCUCACACGAAAGUUGGAUCAAUUAAUUGGUUGAUCGAUGAGCAAAAUAUCACCUUAAAGAAAAUCAAGGAAUAAACAACCUAUCUACGACGAGUCUCCGACGUCCUUUUCGGUGAAAUAACAGAUGACAAGGAGUAAACAAGGCAAGGCAACAGUCAUGCCUAUGCCCCCCGCGACGGACGCGACAUGUUCGAUCUUGGUCCCAGGAUAGUUGUUGUUGAAGAAUAUCACGAGGAGGAUUGAGAUGACGUAUAACGCGAUAGCAAAGAAGAACGUCAUGCACAUGCACAUGCACAUGCACGUGAACCCGAUGCCCUCGCUCGGCUCCCCCACCCUCGCCGCGAGCUCAUCGUCGCCCUUCUUGGGUCCAGGAUUCUCGACGUCGGCCAUCGACCUCCUUCUUUUCUUCUCUUUUCUUUUGCUGGGCUGACUCUUGAUCAACGAUCGAUCUAGUAGGCAGGGGCGUCGAUAUCUCGGUGGUGAGGCGUGAUCGUUGAAAAGGAGAAGACUAGGACCAGGCUCGUCCUAGGGUUCCUCCUUAUAUAUUAUGAUGGGCUAGCUGUUUGGAUGGAGUCCUGAUAGGCAGCUCCUCCCUCAGGCAGCAAUUCUGACUUCAGGCCUCCGAAAUCGUGCCUGAGACAGACAGCUUAUUUACUACUCCGAGCAUAGGUUGUUUAAACCGAUAUACUCUUGGGAAACUGUUGGGAACCGAUAUACUCCG